rnacentral:tRNA from 1 species
UGGCUGAGUGGUAAAGCGCUAGGCUUCCGAACUGGGGGUCCCGGGUUCGAAUCCUGA